UAGCCUGAGGCUCAGAAACCAUUGGGCGUCACAAAAUAGAUUGCCCAUUAACAGAUGAUAUUUGGAAACACAAGCAGUGCUUAUCUAUUGGAUCAGCCACGGGUAACCUCCAGAGGUAAAGAAAGGACAUGUGGGAAUCUACACCAUCUCACUUACGCUGAGAACUAUGCAAGCUGUGCCUCUUGUCCCCUCGUAUCACGUGGUUACAUCUUGAACUAGGAAAAGUGUGAGAAAGAAAGAUCAGCCGACAUGAAGCAGAAGAAAUUCUCCUGGUGUUGAUAAGGACACCUCAGGCAGAGAUAAACAGAUGAAUGAGACGUUCCAUUGCCCAAAGAAUUAAAAUAGCUAGUUGCAUGUGGAAAUCCUUUGGGCCUCUCAGCGUGACACUACCACCCAACCCACACCCUCCUUUUUGCGUAACACGUGUAGGGCCUGGAUCAGUGCCCAAAGAGCCUAAACAACAAGUCAUUUGAGAAACCCUCUCUACCUGGCAGCUCCCUCAGCUUUACCUAGCAUUUAGCGUACCCUACAUUUCCCUUCUGGACGCCUUUCUCCCUGUUUGAAUUAUCCUUGAAAUGUUGAGUCCCAUGUCCUUGUUUGGGGAAGCUGAAGUGAUGGAUGGGUGGUAGGUUUUGGUUCUAGGUGCAGUCAAGUUGUGCUCAAUUUAUGGCUGUCUUAAUUGGGUUUUCAAGGUCAGUGAGAUCUUUAAGGAAUGGCAUCACCGUGGCCACCCAUCUCCCAAUGGGUUUCCGCAGCCAAUGGGGAUCUGAACACGGAUCUCGAGUCCUAGUCUAUCUAUCCCCUACACCUCACUAGCCAUUGGGGUGAGAAUGUAUCCAAGAUUAUUUGGAUUGGUUCUGCAAGGAAAGCACACAUUGGCUUUAUACCAGUUUUAGGCCUAGUGUGUCAUUCUGUCCGCCACAACACCUGGGAUAUCCAGUAUUCAAGAGUACACAUGCCAGUAUAAUGCCCAGCUUUUGAUAGCUGAUAUGCAAUAUGAGUCACUUCCAAAUGCUGAAUUCAGUAUUCAAAUUUGGAUUUCGAACGUUCAAUGGCAUCUUCGACUACCAAAUGCAAAUUUCAAAACACAAAUUGUAGUGUCGAAAUCGAGGGUGGAGGUAGUUGUGUUGAAAGGUGGGACAUGACAAAAAUGCCAGGCUUACAGGGCAGUCCCCAUACUUAUUUACUCUGAAGACCGACCCACUGUGUUCAGUGAGCU
rnacentral:lncRNA from 1 species